rnacentral:rRNA from 1 species
CGCGGCCUAUCAGCUUGUUGGUGAGGUAAUGGCUCACCAAGGCGACGACGGGUAGCCGGCCUGAGAGGGCGACCGGCCACACUGGGACUGAGACACGGCCCAGACUCCUACGGGAGGCAGCAGUGGGGAAUAUUGCACAAUGGGCGAAAGCCUGAUGCGGCGACGCCGCGUGAGGGAUGACGGCCUUCGGGUUGUAAACCUCUUUCAGCAGGGAAGAAGCGAAAGUGACGGUACCUGCAGAAGAAGCGCCGGCUAACUACGUGCCAGCAGCCGCGGUAAUACGUAGGGCGCAAGCGUUGUCCGGAAUUAUUGGGCGUAAAGAGCUCGUAGGCGGCUUGUCACGUCGGGUGUGAAAGCCCGGGGCUUAACCCCGGGUCUGCAUUCGAUACGGGCUAGCUAGAGCGUGGUAGGGGAAAUCGGAAUUCCUGGUGUAGCGGUGAAAUGCGCAGAUAUCAGGAGGAACACCGGUGGCGAAGGCGGAUCUCUGGGCCAUUACUGACGCUGAGGAGCGAAAGCGUGGGGAGCGAACGGGAUUAGAUACCCUGGUAGUCCACGCCGUAAACGGUGGGAACUAGGUGUUGGCGACAUUCCACGUCGUCGGUGCCGCGGCUAACGCAUUAAGUUCCCCGCC